CAUUUAAUUGAGAGCUCAUCAGCUCAAUAGCCUUUUGCCCAACUAUUAGGUAACUUUUAGGGUUAGGAAAGCAAAGUUAAUCUGUUACAAGUCCAAUAAUAGAAAUUUAUGACAUGAUAUUUAACAAGAGCGAGCAGAGCAGUACACAUAAAGCACUGACAUGACACAAAGCAGGCUAUGAAGAACUACCAAUCAAUUGGUACUUUUAGGAUCGUGGUCCAGUUGCUCAGUUCAGUGAAUUUGGAAGAUAUUAAUGCGGGCGAGGGAAAGGAUUCCAUAGCCCAAAUUUUGCAACUAAGAAUGGACCGGCCCCAAAGCAGACUUAAUGUUCCAGUUAACAACAGCCGCAAAGGACACAGUGCUAAGAUGUCUGUCAGUCGGCCCUCGCAGUUCUCUUCUGAUGCACAGAACACAGAGAAUGUGAGUGCACAUCAAAACUUCAAUAAAGCGAGUGCUUGUAAUGUGCCAGAAAGCUUUACAUUUACUAAUACUCAUGACCGCUGAGUAAUAAUGUCAACGUUCUCGAAGUUGAAAAGGAUAAGGAGAAUGCUGUCGUGACAUUCAUCUGUUUGCAAAACUAGUAGUGUCUGAAAGUAAUUGAUAUCUUUCAUGCAGGAGGUUAAAGGAUCCAAGAGAUUUCUCUUUUGAUAUAUGAUGGAUGGUGUAGGCUCAGCUACCAGCCAAGAAAUAUUCCAGAGGAACUGUUUAUAAUGAAAUUACUCAUGUUAUGUACAUGUUUUUAUCAACCUUGUAGCAACUAAAAUGAAACGUGAAAGAAUUUUCCACAAACUGUCUCUUCAAUGAUUGAGCCUCAAACCAGAGGCAAGGAUGAAGCCUCAAACCAGCUUAGCAAUGACUUCUUGCUUCUUUUUGGUUUUCUCCCAGUCCUCCUCCAUAUUUCUCCUAGUCCUUCCCCAUCUUUGAUUUCAAUAAUGUAAUCGCUGCAAGUGAACGUUGCUUGUGAAGCUUUAUUUUCUCAAUGUCUCGGGGAAUGAUGCAGUUACGAACUUGUUCAAAUAAAGACUCAACUAAAACUUAGCAAUUUUCUUCUUGAAAGACAGACAAAGACCUCCUUAUGUUCAUAUAAAAUUGGCAUAUGCUCACUUCCUUCUGCCGACAUGCUUCAUGUUUUUAAUUUGUUUAUUCCUUACCAAUUAUUUGCAGUUCAUUCCUAAGCUACAAAGACGGGAUCGUGAAAAAAUUGGUCAGGCACCAGCAGCAAGUUGAUCUUUUGUAGCUGAAAUCUCAAAGCCUGCACUUUGAUCCCCUUCUAUUGAGCAUCAUCGACUCUUCAAGACACUAUAUCCACUGUCACUCCUGUUUAUAUC